UACGUAGGGGGCAAGCGUUGUCCGGAUUUAUUGGGCGUAAAGAGCGUGUAGGCGGCCAGACAGGUCCGUUGUGAAAACUGGAGGCUCAACUUCCAGACGUCGACAGAAACCGCUUGGCUAGAGUCCGGAAGAGGAGAGUGGAAUUCCUGGUGUAGCGGUGAAAUGCGCAGAUAUCAGGAAGAACACCGAUGGCGAAGGCAGCGCUCUGGGACGGUACUGACGCUGAGACGCGAAAGCGUGGGGAGCGAACAGG
rnacentral:rRNA from 1 species